GAGCCUGAUGCAGGGCUCGAACUCACGGACCACGAGAUCGUGACCUGGCUGAAGUCGGACGCUUAACCGACUGCGCCACCCAGGCGCCCCAAGGAGCCUUUCUUGUAUCUGCUUUUGCUUCUCAGUCGCCUUCAGUUCAGAAUAGUCCCUCUGCAGAAAUGGCCUAUUCUGGAGCGGCGUCCUGGGAGAUGCACCGUCAACCGGUGGCGGAAUGCCAAAUGGACGGAUUCCCCAAGUAGAAGAGAGCAGGGAGAGGAGGGCCGGUUCUCUCUUGGAGGCAUCCUUAUCUGCACGUUGGGGACAUUGAUCUCCAAGACUUACUCAAGGAAGGGAACUGAGGCUGUGUAUAUAAAACCACCUGGCACAAUGGUUGGCCUGUGGACAUUAAUCGACUCCAUAUCUAUGACUAUUAGUUCUUUUUUAUAUCCAGACAGAAUCUUCUCCAGACAAUGAUGAGGUCUUACGUUGGUGCUUCCCAAAGUGUGGCCCGUGAACCUGCUUGGAUUACUUACUGGAUUCUACCUAGAACAUCCUAGGGACAGAUCCCCAGUUCCCUUUGCUCCUCUUAGACCUACUCCACCAUGUUCUCAGGGGACAGAGCCCUGCACUCUUUGACAAACUUCCCAAAUGAUUCCUGAGCACAGCCGAGUUUGAGAACCACUAGUAAGGCGAAUGAAACAUUGCUUCUGGGGAUUAGAGAGACCUGGGUUCAAAUCCCAGUUCUGUAACUAACUUAAAAUGUCUAUGCCUUGAUUUCCUGGUUUUUAAAGGGAUAAGAAUAGUAUGUGUGGAGAUUAGAUUAUAUGCAUGUAAAUUGCUUAAGACUUGGGCUAGCACAAAAUAAGUGGUCAAACAAAUGUUAGCUAUUUUUUUUUCCUGCUAAGUGUUCCUGGUUGCAUCUGCUGUCCCUCUGUGGCACAGAUCAAGGCCCCUCGCCAUCCCAGCAAUUACUGAGUUGAUACACGUUGGGAGCAGGAAAAACAAAAACAGGGGAGGCUGUCAGGGUGAGAGCUUUGGUAUCGCCCUCAGCGGCUCUCAUCUGUGAAACGCUGUAAAGACACACUUGGCCACUGGAGGGCAACAUCCACCUAGCUCGUUUUAAGACCUGCUUUCUCAAAAAGCAUCUUCAGAUAGUAGUGUGGGAGGGUGGAAGCCUUAAUGGGGAAUUGGGGUUCUUUGCAUUACUUAACAUCCACUCUACUCCAGGCAGCGCUUAGUGCAUAGGUGUGCCCUAAAAUAUAACCUGGAGAGACAAGUUUGGCAUAAAGAACUGCUUUCCCAUUGCCUUGAAUUAUAAAAGGGGAAUUUUGCUUCUAAACCUGGGGUCUCCCACAGGUGCCCAGUGAUAGCUUUCUGAGUGUCCACAUGCCUGGCCACCAGGAUCCCACAGCCCUCUGCAGGCACACAGAAGGCUCUUUCUCACCCUGCCAGCCGCUGGCUGCACAUGAAGAAAUACGCAGGCAGCCCUGGGGGAGGCGGCAGUCCCUCCCUGCAUGCUUGGUGUUCCCUUCUCGACGUGGCAGCAGGGAUGGAUUCUCCAAAGCAGGUCCAAGCGUUCUAGAACCGUAUUCGGACUGGGCGUGGGACCCCCUUGAUGCUCAUCUCGGGUCUAAACCGGGGCUCCCAGGUGAAGCCACACUCCAGGCACUCCCUGAGAAUGGGCUGUUUAUUUGGGUUAUUCCCAAAGCAGCCUCUAGAUGGCUGUUUGCGCUGUGAGCUCCGUGGGCAGCGGGACUCAGUGGAGAAACGCUGUGAAAGUUGCAAAACCCGUGCGUCACAAUCAACCCAUCCAAGGGGUAAGGGAGCUGGUAUUCACUCUUCCUAGUAGCUACUUCCCGGUAGCCUGCCUCAUCCUCAGGCCGAGUCUCCUUCUGCGGUUCUGGGGGGAAGGUCCCCAGGCACAGAGAUGCAAGAACCAUAGGUGGAAGUUUGCUGGGUAUGGGCGGGGCAGUGCCAGCAGCUGCUAGAGGCUGCCUUUGCCUUUGGCCGUCGUGCUGACCCCAGUGCCCCCUGCCUCCAGCCCCUGAUCUGGGGUGGGAACCCCUUCCUUCCCACUUCCGUGGAUGAUGUCACGCUGGCUGGCCAGCAUCAGCACCGGGAGAACCCACUCCUUACGCGAGUUUUGCGGGGAAGCAGAGCCUUUCCUGUUGCUUGCGGUAGAGUCCUGACACGCCCACUCUGAGUCCAGGUGGCCUGGGUAGGGCUGCGCCCUCCAAUCUAGGCUGAGCACCCAGGCCAGGCCGAAGCCGACUUGAAGUUGCGAGGUGGUGACACGGGAGCCCCUGGCCAUUUUGCCACCUCAGAAGGAGAGCCCGUUUGAGAAUGGAGUCAAUCCAGGGAAACCGCGUCCUGCUGGCCUUGGUGCGCCCCUGCCUCAGGCACCUGGGAAGACAGCAUUACCUCUGGACACUUCAUUUAUCCAAGUCAGUGAAACGACCCUUCUGGCUUUACCAGCGUAGGUUGGGUUUCGUGACUCUUGCAGGCAAGUGUCCUAAUCGUUAGAUCACCCAGCAGCUCCUGAUUCUCAUCCACAAAUGAUUCGAGGUUGGGUAACAAGUUAUCACAUCUAAUUAUCUCAUGCUGAUUGUGUGCGGAAACAAAAGAGCCCUCUCUCUCUUUUUCUUCCCGCCUCUCUCUCCUCCCACGCACCUUGGCUCCAAACUUGGCUGUUCUGCACAGGGCACCGGGCUAUGGGUCAGGAGACCUGGGUUCUCACCCUAGCUCUGCCUCAACCUACCCCUGUGACCUCGAGCAAGCCAAUGCUCUCAGGCUGUAAUCUUCUCCUCUGUCAGAUGAAAAGGGUGGACUUUGUGACCUCUUCGGUUCUCUAACACUAACAUUCCAUGGACAUCUUUGCCCUUCAUCCCACAUUUAGCUCGUCACUGAGGCCCACUGAAGCUUCCUUGGACGUCUCUCAGCCACCCCUCCUGCUAUUACCUUGGAAGAGGAGUGGCUCCUCCCUUUCUUCCUGAAAUGCUGCUUUCACCACUGGCUCUAAAUCUAGAACUAAAAAGAAUUUUGCAGUGAGUAGAGCCUGGGAGGGCUCCCUGGGAAAUUCUGGACGGACAAGGGGACAUCUCCGUUAAUUCCGAUCCUCAGAGAACGAAACUGAGAUGAAGCUUCAGCUCCUAAUUUUCCCAGACAACUCAGUGUCCUAGACUGUGUCCUGCCUGCAGCCCUCACCCCCUCAGCCCAGGGCCGCUAACCAGUCCACCCACCUCCUGUGGGCCCGGCCAUUCCGGCCCUUUUGGGGUUUCAGGGUUUUGUAGCUUCCAUCUCCCUCCUCUGUGGACUAGUGUUUUUAGGGUGAGGGGCUCUGGUCCAACAGCUGUGGCAGCCUCCCAGGGGCCAACAUUGCAAACUCAAGCUUUUGAAGCAGGAGAGGUUUCUCCAGAGCCUCAAGCCUAUAACAUGGGCCCCUGGCGUCAGGGAGGCAACCAGGCUCCCGUGAGGCCUGAACAAUGGAGCAGGUGUGAGUUUCCUACUACUGCUGUAACAAAUUACCACAAACAUAGUGGCUUCAAACAACACGAGUUUAUUAUCUUAUACAGGCAUCUACCUCAGAGAUAUUGCAGGUUUGGUUCCAGACCACCACAAUUAAGCAAGUAUCACAAUAAAGCAAAUCAAAUGAAUUUUUUGGUUCUCCACUGCAUAUAAAUGUAUGUUUACACUAUACUGCAGCCUAUUAAGCGUGCGAUAGCAUUAUGUCAAAAAAAAAAAAAAGAUGCGUGUGCCUUAAUUUUAAAAUACUUUAUUGACACAGAGACACGAAGUUGGCAAAUGCUGUUGGAAAAAUGGCGCCAAGAGACUUGCUCGACUCCCGGCUGCCAAAAAAUUUCAACCUGUACAAAACACGGUAUCUGUGAGGUGCCAUAAAGCAAGGUAAGCCUAUAUAGUUCUGGAGAUCAGAAAUACAAAGUCAGUAGCAGGGCCGCGUUUCUUCUGGAGGUUCUAGGGGAGAAUCCAUUUCCUUGUCUGUUCCAGCUUCUACUAGCCAUCCACAUCCCUCAGUUUAUGGCUCUACAGCACUCCAAUCUCUACCUUCACCGUCCCUACCUCUUGAUGAAGGCCCACCCAGAUAAUCCAGAAUAUUCUCCCCAUCUCAAUAUCCUUCAAUACAUCUGCAAAGUGCCAUCUGCCCUGUGCAGUGGCGUAAUCACACGUUCCAGGGAUUAGGACGGGGACGUCUCCUGGGGACUAUUAUUAAGCCCACCACAGAGCUCAAAGACCGGAAGAGGACUCCCCUUAAUGGUAUUUUUCUAGAACCAGGCCUUUUGCCUCAAGAAUUUUUAAAAUAGCAUAACAAAGCACAGCUAAUUU